rnacentral:rRNA from 1 species
CCUACGGGCGACAGCAGUGGGGAAUAUUGCGCAAUGGGCGAAAGCCUGACGCAGCGACGCCGCGUGAGGGAUGACUGCUCUACGGGUUGUAAACUUCUUUUAUAAAGGAAUAAAGUGAGGCACGUGUGCCUUUUUGUAUGUACUUUAUGAAUAAGGAUCGGCUAACUCCGUGCCAGCAGCCGCGGUAAUACGGAGGAUCCGAGCGUUAUCCGGAUUUAUUGGGUUUAAGGGGAGCGUAGAUGGGUUGUUAAGUCAGUUGUGAAAGUUUGCGGCUCAACCGUAAAAUUGCAAUUGAUACUGGCAGUCUUGAGUACAGUUGAGGUAGGCGGAAUGCGUGGUGUAGCGGUGAAAUGCUUAGAUAUCACGAAGAACUCCGAUUGCGAAGGCAGCUUACUAAACUGCCACUGACAUUGAUGCUCGAAAGUGUGGGUAUCAAACAGGAUUAGAUACCCGAGUAGUC